AUGGUGCCUGGCCAGCCAGCACGUCGAUGACUCCCAACAGCAGCACUAAAGACAGCAACGCGUCUUUGCAGAUCUGGGUGCACCACUCAAGAAGAAAUCUGUAGCCACUCAUUGGUUGAAGGAGAAUCUCCACUGAGGCAUGAUAUAUCGCUUCUGCGAGCUGACUGAGACGAGCGUGAGCUCCGCGAGCUCUGAUAUACGAGAUAAGAUUGCUGAAUCAUUUAUCAUAUCCGUUGCUUGCUCGGCUCACUCCAUCCCAGGAUAAGAAGAGCAGGAAGAGAAGAAGAGGACGCCUCAAUUCUCCUCUCUACAAGCACCGGCCACGGAGAGCGAGCAAAAAGAAUACGACGAGGAUUGAAACAAAACAGUGCACACAAAGUUCCACGCCAAAACGAUCAAGCUCUGUAGAAGCUCUCUCUCUCUCUCUCUCACUUCACGCUCUCGCGACUCGACUCGGCUGAUCUACGUCCCAAUCCCGAUUUAUUCUCGCGCUCGCUCGAUGCCAAAGGCCAGUCUGCCAAGUUUAUAUUUUCAUUCUCUCACUUUUUUGCUCAGUGCUCUGAUCGUUCUUACAAGAAGUGGUAAUAAGCACACGAUCCGUGACACCCUAUACAGACUAGGCUCGCGCCAGAUAGGCCGACGUGGCGCAAUCUAGAGCCGUCGAUUGGCUUUCGCGGCGGAUUCUGUAUCUUUGAAUUCCGGCCGUCGAUUCUUUUAAAUUCCAGCCGUUGGAUGCUC